AUUGAACGCUGGCGGCAUGCCUUACACAUGCAAGUCGAACGGUAGAGGGGGCAACCCCUUGAGAGUGGCGAACGGGUGAGUAAUAUAUCGGAACGUGCCCAGUCGUGGGGAUAACGUAGCGAAAGUUACGCUAAUACCGCAUACGAUCUACGGAUGAAAGCGGGGGACUCGCAGGAGCCUCGCGCGAUUGGAGCGGCCGAUAUCAGAUUAGGUAGUUGGUGGGGUAAAGGCUCACCAAGCCAACGAUCUGUAGCUGGUCUGAGAGGACGACCAGCCACACUGGGACUGAGACACGGCCCAGACUCCUACGGGAGGCAGCAGUGGGGAAUUUUGGACAAUGGGCGCAAGCCUGAUCCAGCAAUGCCGCGUGCAGGAUGAAGGCC
rnacentral:rRNA from 1 species